AUACUGCGCGCGCUUCAAGGUGACCUGCCCGCGCAACCGAGCCCGGCCAGGUUGAAACGGGAAGCCGGUGAAUUUCCGCCUGACGGAACCAUUCCGGCGCUGCCCCCGCAACGGUAAGCGAGUCAAAUCCUGGCAUCGGCCACUGUGCAACCGCAUGGGAAGGCGCCAGGGCAAUGUGCGGCCGCACAUGCUCGCCAGCCCGGAGACCGGCCUUGGACAGGAUCCCUGG
rnacentral:ncRNA from 1 species